CUAAAGUUCUCCAGACACA
rnacentral:tRNA from 1 species